CAGGUACAGAGGGCAGCUACCCAGCAAUGGGAUGCGAAUCUCGAAAGCCUGUCUCAGUUCGGAUUGGAGGCUGAAACCCGCCUCCAUGAAGUUGGAUUCGCUAGUAAUCGCGCAUCAGCCAUGGCGCGGUGAAUACGUUCCCGGGCCUUGUACACACCGCCCGUCAAGCCAUGGGAGCCGGGGGUACCUGAAGUGCGUAACCGCGAGGAUCGCCCUAGGGUAAAACUGGUGACUGGGGCUAAGUCGUAACAAGGUACC
rnacentral:rRNA from 1 species